rnacentral:rRNA from 1 species
UAGGGAAUAUUAGAAAUGGACGAAAGUCUGAUCUAGCAACACCGCGUGUGCGAAGAAGGCCUUUGGGUUGUGAAGCACUUUUUGGAAGGAAUAGGAAGGAAUGUACUUCCAGAAUAAGUCUCGGCUAACUACGUGCCAGCAGCCGCGGUAACACGUAGGAGGCAAACGUUAUCCGGAUUUACUGGGCGUAAAGCGCGUGUAGGUGGUACUGUAAGUAGGGCGUGAAAGCUCCUGGCUCAACUGGGAGAGGCCGUUCUAAACUACAGAACUAGAGGAUGGUAGAGGGAGGUGGAAUUCCAGGUGUAGCGGUGGAAUGCGCAGAUAUCUGGAGGAACACCGGUGGCGAAGGCGGCCUCCUGGACCAUUCCUGACACUCAGACGCGAAAGCUAGGGUAGCAAACGG